UUUAUUUACGGACAUAUGCCAUGUCGCGCACUCUCACGUUUGAUCUAAAAAGCAGCUGCCCUCACGUUUAGCUGCAGCAGUCAGGACAGCAACUAGCUUCUGAUCUUUCAGAACACACAAAUAUUUGGAGAUGAUGGCUGAAAGGAGAAUACAGUCCAAGCUCCCAUCACAAAAAAACAUAACUUAUCCACACAGUGGGACUGUUACUUCAUGGCUGAUGAUACGUAGAAAUCACACUGCUUCCAUGCUAUAUCAAAUGGCAUUGGUGACAUAAUUUUUCAUCAUGUAUUCCCUUGAGCUACAAAAGAAGAGUGGUUUUGACAUCAUACAAG